rnacentral:tRNA from 1 species
GGCCCCUUAGCUCAACUGGAUAGAGCGCGAGCCUUCUAAGCUUGAGGUUGCAGGUUCGAGCCCUGCAGGGGUCGCCA